rnacentral:rRNA from 2 species
GAAGCUGCGGCAGCGACACUGUGUGUUGUUGGGUAGGGGAGCGUUCUGUAAGCCUGUGAAGGUGUGUCGUGAGGCAUGCUGGAGGUAUCAGAAGUGCGAAUGCUGACAUAAGUAACGAUAAAGCGGGUGAAAAGCCCGCUCGCCGGAAGACCAAGGGUUCCUGUCCAACGUUAAUCGGGGCAGGGUGAGUCGACCCCUAAGGCGAGGCCGAAAGGCGUAGUCGAUGGGAAACGGGUUAAUAUUCCCGUACUUGGUGUUACUGCGAAGGGGGGACGGAGAAGGCUAUGUUGGCCGGGCGACGGUUGUCCCGGUUUAAGCGUGUAGGUGUGUGUUCCAGGUAAAUCCGGUUCACUUUAACACUGAGGCGUGACGACGAGGCACUACGGUGCUGAAGCAACAAAUGCCCUGCUUCCAGGAAAAGCCUCUAAGCAUCAGGUAACAUCAAAUCGUACCCCAAACCGACACAGGUGGUCAGGUAGAGAAUACCAAGGCGCUUGAGAGAACUCGGGUGAAGGAACUAGGCAAAAUGGUGCCGUAACUUCGGGAGAAGGCACGCUGACACGUAGGUGAAGUGAUUUACUCAUGGAGCUGAAGUCAGUCGAAGAUACCAGCUGGCUGCAACUGUUUAUUAAAAACACAGCACUGUGCAAACACGAAAGUGGACGUAUACGGUGUGACGCCUGCCCGGUGCCGGAAGGUUAAUUGAUGGGGUCAGCGCAAGCGAAGCUCCUGAUCGAAGCCCCGGUAAACGGCGGCCGUAACUAUAACGGUCCUAAGGUAGCGAAAUUCCUUGUCGGGUAAGUUCCGACCUGCACGAAUGGCGUAAUGAUGGCCAGGCUGUCUCCACCCGAGACUCAGUGAAAUUGAACUCGCUGUGAAGAUGCAGUGUACCCGCGGCAAGACGGAAAGACCCCGUGAACCUUUACUAUAGCUUGACACUGAACAUUGAGCCUUGAUGUGUAGGAUAGGUGGGAGGCUUUGAAGUGUGGACGCCAGUCUGCAUGGAGCCGACCUUGAAAUACCACCCUUUAAUGUUUGAUGUUCUAACGUGGACCCGUUACCCGGGUUGCGGACAGUGUCUGGUGGGUAGUUUGACUGGGGCGGUCUCCUCCUAAAGAGUAACGGAGGAGCACGAAGG